CGCAAGGAGGGCGCUUACCACGGCGGGGUUCGUGACUGGGGUGAAGUCGUAACAAGGUAGCCGUAUCGGAAGGUGCGGCUGGAUCACCUCCUUU
rnacentral:rRNA from 1 species